rnacentral:rRNA from 1 species
GACGAACGCUGGCGGCGUGCUUAACACAUGCAAGUCGAACGGAAAGGCCCUGCUUUUGUGGGGUUCUCGAGUGGCGAACGGGUGAGUAACACGUGAGUAACCUGCCCUUGACUUUGGGAUAACUUCAGGAAACUGGGGCUAAUACCGGAUAGGAGCUCCUUCUGCAUGGUGGUGGUUGGAAAGUUUCGUCGGUUGGGAAUGGACUCCCGGCUUAUCAGCUUGUUGGUGGGGUAGUGGCUUACCAAGCCUUUGACGGUUGGCCGGCCUGGGAGGGUGACCGGCCACAUUGGGACUGGAAUACGGCCCGGACUCCUACGGGAGGCAGCAGUGGGAAUUAUUGCCCAAUGGGCGGAGGCCGGAUGCAGGAACGCCGCGUGCGGGAUGACGGCCUUCGGGUUGUAACCCGCUUUCGCCUGGGACGAAGCGUGAGUGACGGUAAUGGGUAAAGAAGCACCGGCUAACUACGUG